AACGAAAUAAACCUUCACAAUCACAACCUUUUCCAAUAAAAGUACCAAAUUUGGACAUUAUAUAUUUAUUGGACUCAAAGACUAACUUAAAACCAUCUCUACAAUGUAGAGAGUCGCUCACUAGAUUCUUGUGAAUGGUUGUCAAAUGUUGCAUGUUCUUCAACUACAUGAUUUUUCCCGAAGUAAACUUCAAGUCGACCG
rnacentral:lncRNA from 1 species